rnacentral:rRNA from 1 species
AUCCAUGAGUAAAGUGGCGCACGGGUGAGUAACACGUGACUAACCUACCCUUGAGUGGGGAAUAACCUAGAGAAAUCUGGGCUAAUACCGCAUAACACCUACGGGUCAAAGGAGCAAUUCGCUUAAGGAGGGGGUCGCGGCAGAUUAGCUAGUUGGCGGGGUAAUGGCCCACCAAGGCGGUGAUCUGUAUCCGGCCUGAGAGGGCGCACGGACACACUGGAACUGAAACACGGUCCAGACUCCUACGGGAGGCAGCAGUGGGGAAUUUUGCGCAAUGGGGGAAACCCUGACGCAGCAACGCCGCGUGGAGGAUGAAGUCCCUUGGGACGUAAACUCCUUUCGAUCGGGACGAUUAUGACGGUACCGAGAGAAGAAGCCCCGGCUAACUUCGUGCCAGCAGCCGCGGUAAUACGAGGGGGGCGAGCGUUGUUCGGAAUUAUUGGGCGUAAAGGGUGCGUAGGCGGUUCGGUAAGUCUUAUGUGAAAUCUUCGGGCUCAACUCGAAGUCUGCAUGAGAAACUGCCGGGCUUGAGUGUGGGAGAGGUGAGUGGAAUUUCCGGUGUAGCGGUGAAAUGCGUAGAUAUCGGAAGGAACACCUGUGGCGAAAGCGGCUCACUGGACCACAACUGACGCUGAU